rnacentral:rRNA from 1 species
CGAACGGGUGAGUACAACAUCGGAACGUAUCCUUUAGUGGGGGAUAGCCCGGCGAAAGCCGGAUUAAUACCGCAUGAUCUCUGAGGAGCAAAGCGGGGGAACCGUAAGGUCCUCGCGCUGUUGGAGCGGCCGAUGCCGGAUUAGCUUGUUGGUGGGGUAAGAGCCUACCAAGGCGACGAUCCGUAGCUGGUCUGAGAGGAUGAUCAGCCACACUGGAACUGAGACACGGUCCAG